rnacentral:lncRNA from 1 species
GUUGAAAGGAGUCCAACCGGGUGUGAACUGCACCUGCAGUCCCAGCUUUCUUGAAACCAAGAGAUCCCAAGUUUUACUCCACCCGUUAUCAACACACAUGCACACAAAGGUGUCCAAAGUGUAUUUCAGACUUCCUCCUCUGUGGAAAAUUGCCAGUGGUGUGCUUUGCAUGGGUGAGGCCCAGCUAUUACCAUCAUAAAAGGGGGUGGGAGGCUGGGGAGACAGCACAGCACUUCUUCUGCUCUUCCAGGGGACCGAUCCGCGUGGGACAGCUCACACGUGUCUGAAACUACCCCACCAGGAUCCCCUGGCUCUCUCUCCGCCUCUGGGAGACCGAAUUCAGGUGCACACUCUUCAAUUCUCGCCUACCCACCCCAAACCCAUGUAAUUAUAAAAAUAAGGAAUAUAAUCUUUUUAAAAAGUCACCCUGAAAAUGAUGUUUCGCUGACUUCUCCGCGCACACUUCCACUAACAAGGUCAGGACAAGAGUUUCCAGCAUGUUCUCUGUCUGGGCCUCGUGUUGUCAUCUUUCCCCGUAGGGACUGUGUGUACGGUGCGUCUCCGUCCUGAAGCCCUCCGUCCGGAAGCCCUCCGUCCUGUAGCACAGCACAGGUUCUUUCAGGGCUCUCCUACAGCUGGCCCUGUUGCUUAGCAGCUGAUCAUAGACUUGUACUGGCACCAGAGACCUGAGAAGGAAUAAAUGUGCCUGAGUACAUAGGAAGUGCAGAGCAAGCGGAUUCCAAAACUGUAGAAACGACAGAGGGGCUGGGUGUCUGGACAGCCACUCAAGGUU